CCCUAUGCACGUGGCCACACGCUUCCGCUUAAAGAGAGCGGAGGAUCUCCGCGCCGGGGGGGAGAAGCGGGACCCUCACAGCUUUGUAAUUGGAAGACUACCCUAAUCUGUUCUGAACGUGCAUGAAAAUGGAAGAAACACCUGAUAUUACGCCUCUCCAUGCUUCAGUUUCUUCAGCAGUACUCCAGUGACGAUGAUCUGUAAGUGGAAAAAACUGAAAUCUCUACAGCCAGUGUAAGCCUGCCAACCUUUGCCUCCAUUGAGUGCCCAGGAGAAUCAAAUGGCUCUGAUCCAGGCUUACAGUCAUAUCUUGAUUCAUCAUCUCCUCUCUUUCAAGAAAUAGUUUCCUACUACUAUUUAAGCAAAUCUUUGCAGAUUCGUGCUGGAUUAUCUCGUGUGCCAAGAGGAUUCUUGAUGCUGUGCAGUAAAUUGCUAAGCUCUGUGGUAGCCUUGAAAACCAACAGCCUGCAAUCGCAGUGAAAACAAGAAGCCUGGAAACCGCAGGAGGGAGCAGAAUGGGGCUGGAGUUGCUUCAAAGCCUCAUUUCCAGUGAAAUGUCAUUAUUUGACCUUUCUGGUGGUUCCCUUAAAGACUUGCAAGACUGUCUUUAUUUUACCUGACUCAGGGCUCACUCAGUGCAAAAAGUCUUUCCCAAUGAACAUUAAAAAAAAAAAUUAGGUGGAAUUGUUUAACUUUGUGGCUACUGGAAACAUUAGAAAACAGUUGGGGCAAACAAUAGGCUAAGAAAAGCUAGGGAAUGAGAUGUCCAUAGAGAUUCUAAAAAACUGACAUAUUCCUGGGAAUCUAGAAGUCCAUGUGCAUGCAUAGGGCUGUGCACAUGAUCAGGAAAAACAUAAGAAGGCCCUAAGUUCUCUUUUCUGGCUGACCUUCAGGCUCUGUGAAAAUAGGAAAUUAAAACUCGGGUAUAGUUGUCAAUUGCCUGGCUGAGCAUUGAAGGGAUGCUCCAACAUGCUCACAGAGACCCUUGGCACAAACUGGAAGACUUACUGGUUCUGGCAUUUAAGGAAAUCUCUCUCCAAUCCUUAGCUGACCACUAAGCUAACUGAGUAGAGACUUUAGUGGUCACAUAUGUCAAAGAAUACAGACUAUACCUUUAGGAAAAGUCACUAAACAACAAAAACAACAAAUAGCAACAAUAAACACUGAGGUUGGGGUGAAGAAUUUGACUUCCAGAGAUGCCAUUUUAUAUUAUUUUAAAUGUCCAGUUUUCAAGAAAAAAUGACAUGCUGAGUAACAUUAAAGUAUGACUCCUAUACAUGGGAAAAAGCCAAGCAAUCAAUAGAAAUAGAAAUUGUCCCUGAGGAAGCCCAGAUGUUGAACUUAGUAGACAAAACUUUAGCUAUUUUAGGUAUGUUCAAAGAACCAAAGUAAACCAUGUCUACAGAACUAAAGGAAAGUAUGAAAAAGAUGUCUCACCAAAUAAAAAAUAUAAAGAGAUAGAAAUUAUAGAAAAGAACCAAGUAGAAGUUUUGUAGUUGAACAAUAACUGAAGUCAAAAUUUACUACAGAGGCUCAACUGUAGAUUUCAGUAGAUAGAGGAAAGAAUCAGUGAACCUGAAAACAGUUUAUUGAGAUUAUCCAGAGGCAUAUAAAGAAAAAUGAAGCAGAAAAUGAACAGGCUCAGAUACGUACAGGACAUCCUAAAACAUACCAAUGCAUGAAUGAUGGAAGUCUCAGAAGAGAAGAAGAGAGAAAUAGGGGUAGAAAGAAUAUUUCAAAAAAUAAUGGCUGAAAGUGUGCCAAAUUUGAUGAAAAACAUUAAUCUCCACAUCCAAGAAGCUCAAUGAAUUCCCCUAGACACAUCAUAAUCAAACUGUUGAAAGCUAAAGACAAAGAGAGAAUCCUGAAUGCAAAGAGAAGAGACUCAUCAUAUUCAAGGGAUGAGAUGUUUCAUCAAAAACCAUAAAGGUGAGAGGCAGUAGGAUGACAUAUUCAGAGUGCUGAAGGAAAAAGACUGUCAACCAAAAAUUCUAUAUCCAAUAAAACUAUCCUUCAAAAAGGAGGAAAAAAGACAUUCCCAGAUAAACAAAAGCUGAGGCAAUUUAUCAUUAGCAAACUUCCCUAGAAAAAUAAUAAAGGGAGUCCUUUGGACUGAAAUAAAGGAUACUAGGCAGAAACUUGAGUCCACAUGAAGAAAUAAAGAGCACUGGUAAAGAUAACUAUACAGGUAACUAUAAAAGAGAGUAUAGAUCCCAAACAGCCAAACAAUCUUGAAAAAGGACAACAAACUUGGAGGUCUCACACUUCACUUUCAAAACUUACUACAAAGCUACAGUAAUCAAAACAGUGUGGUACUGGCAUACAGACAGACAUAUAGACCAAUGGAGUAGAGUGCAGGAAUAAACCCUCACAUACAUGGUUAAAUAAUUUUUGAGAAGGGUGCCAAGGCCAUUCCCUAAGGAAGGAAUAGUGCUGGGAAAAUUUGAUAUCCACAUGCAAAAGAAUGAAGUUAGACUCUUACCUACAUCAUAAACAAAAAUUAACUCAAAAUGGAUCAGAUAAUUAAAUGUAAGACCUCAAAUUAUAAAACUCUUUAAGAAAACAUAUGGGAAAUGCUUCAUGACAUUUGAUUUGACACUGAUUUCUUGGAGAUGAAACCAAAAGCAAGGUAAAACAACAACAACAACAAAACCCUGAUAAAUUGGACUACAUCAAAAUUAAAGACAUCUGUACAAAAAUCAACAGAGUGAAAAGGCAGAAUGGGAGAAAAUAUUUGCAAAUCACAUAUAUGAUAAGGGAUUAACAUUUAGAAUGCAUAAAGAACUCCCAUAACUCAACAACAACAACACAACAAAAAUAAGCAACCCAAUUCAAAAAUGGGCAAAAGACAUUUUUCCAAAGGAGAUAUGUAAGCCAGUUUCGCCAAAGUAGAUACAUAUAAGCCAAUGAGCACAUGAAAAGAUGCUCAACAUCUGUAAUCAUUAAGGAAAUGCAAGUCAAAACACAGUUAUCUGCCACUUCACACCCAUUAGGAUGGCUGUUAUCAAACAAGCAGAAUAUAACAAAUGUGAGGGAGGAUGUGGAGAAAUUGGAAUCCUGUGUACUAGUGGUGGGAAUGUGAAAUGGUGUACCUGCUAUGGAAAACAGUAUAGCAAUUCCUCAUAAAGUUAAACAUAAAAUUACCAUAUGAUCCAGCAAUUUCACUUCUGGGUAUAUAUGGAAAUAAAUUAAAGGCAGGGACUCUUUAAUCCAUUUGGAGUUUAUUUUUGUGUUUGGUGUUAGGUAGUGUUCUAAUUUCAGUUUUUUACAUGUAGCUGUCCAGUUUUCCCAGCACCACUUAUUGAAGAGGCUGUCUUUUCUCCACUGUAUGUUCUUGCCUUCUUUGUCAUAAAUUAGGUGGCCAUUAUGUGUGUGGGUUUAUCUCUGGGCUUUCUAUCCUGUACCAUUGACCUAUAUUUCUGUUUUUGUGCCAGUACCCUACUGUCUUUUUUUAAAUUAUUUAAUUUAUUUAUUUUUGGCUGCGUUGGGUCUUCGUUGCUACUUGCGGGCUUUCUCUAGUUGUAGCGAGCGGGAGCUACUCUUUGUUGUGGUGCUUGGGCUUCUCAUUGCAGUGGAUUCUCUUGUUGCGGAGCAUGGCCUCUAAGCCCACGGGCUUCAGUAGUUGUGGCUCACGGGCUCUAGAGCGCAGCCUCAGUAGUUGUGGUGCACGGGCUUAGUGGUUCCAUGGCAUGUGGGAUCUUCCCAGACCAGGGCCCAACCCCCUGUCCCCUGCAUUGGCAGGUGGAUUCUUAACCACUGUGCCACCAGGGAAGCCCCAUACUGUCUUGAUUACUGUGGCUCUGUAGUAUAGUUUGAAGUCAGGGAGCCUGAUUUCUCCAGCUCCGUUUUUCUUUCUCAAGAUUGCUUUGGCUAUUCAGGGUCUUUUGUGUUUCCAUACAAAUUGUAAAAUUUUUUGUUCUAAUUCUGUGAAGAAUGCCAUUGUUAAUUUGAUAGGGAUUGCACUGAAUCUGUAGAUUGCUUUGGGUAGUAUAGUCAUUUUCACAAUAUUGAUUCUUCCAAUCCAAGAACAUGGUAUAUUUCCCCAUCUGUUUAUGUCAUCUUUGAUUUCUUUGAUCAUUAUUUUACAGUUUUCUGAGUACAAGUCUUGCGCCAAAUGUAAAAUAGCUGGUGGGAAGCAGCAGCGUAGCACAGGGAGAUCAGCUCGGUGCUGUGCGACGACCUAGAGGGGUGGGAUAGGGAGGAUGCGAGGAGGGCUCAAGAGGGAGGGGAUAUAUGGAUGUAUAUAUGCAUAUGGCUGAUUCAUUUUGUUGUGCAACAGGGGCUAACUCAGUAUUGUGAAGCAGUUAUACUCCAAUAAAGAUAUCUUUUUUUAAAAAGGCAGGGGCUCAAACAGAUAUUUGUACACCUAUGUUUAUAGCAGCAUUAUUCACAAUAGAAAAAGGUGGAAGCAACCCAAGUAUCCAUCUGGAUAAACAAAAUGUGGUAUAUACAUACAAUGGAAAUUAUUCAGCCUUAAAAAGGAAAGAAAUUCUGACACAUGCUACAACAUGGAUUAACCUUGAAGACAUUAUGCUAAGCGAAGAAAGCCAGACAAAAAAGUUCAAAUACUAUAUGCUUCCACUUAUAGUAGGUAUCUAGAGUAGUCAAAUUAAUAGAGAGAUAGAAAGUAGAAUGGUAGGUUUUUAGGGACUGGGGAAGGGAGGAAUGGGGAAUUACUGUUUAAUGGAUCAGAGUUUCAGUCUUAGAUGAUGAAAAAAGUUCUAGAGAUGACUGGUGGUGAUAGUUGCACAGCAGUGUGAUUGUACUUAAUGCUACUGAAGAGUACACUUAAAGAUGGUUAAAAUGAUAAAUUUUAUAUAUAUUUUACCACAAUUAAAAAUAAUAAGUAUGCUCAUUAUCCCUUACAGCUAACCAUCCCACUUCUGGGAACAGGUCCUAGAGAUAUUCCACAAAAUAUGUAUAUGGACAAGACAUGCAUACUGUUUGUAUUAGGGAAAAGAUUGGAAACAACUUAAACACCCAUGAAUAGAGGACUGGAUGGAUGAAUAAACUGUAGGAUAUUCUUAACUGAAAUGACCAUGGUUCGUUUUCUGAGAGAAUGUGGCAAAGAAGAAUACAGUGACUUUUAGUAGAUUAGUAGUGUAGCGUUUGGUACUAGAUUCAAGCUAAGGUACUAGCAAUUUUAACCACCAACAGUACAAAUGUCAACUCAGUGAAAAGGGCAGGGUUUUUUUCCCCCACAAUAGGCAUUAGAAAGAAAAGAAUGUCAUAAAACUUGGCUACUCAUAAAAUUUUUAAUUCCUAUAAUUCCAGUGUAUUCCCAAAUCCUAGCUCAUGCCUGGCACAUAGUAGGCAUUCAAUUUGCUGAAUUUAUUCAUUUUUUCCCAAGGGUAGCCUUUAGGGAGGGCAGGCCCAGAGAGAUGGUAUUAAGAUGAUUUGCCUGGGAAGUCAUUUAGCAAAACAUCUAAGUGUCCCCACCUAAGUGUGAAACUCUCAUUAGGUCCAGUAAGGGAAUCCAAAAGAAAUAGCUUCCUCCAUGUACUCUAGUUAGAGAGAACAUAUUCUCACAUGAAAAUCGCUUAAGGUUUAUAAAAACGUGCACCAAGAAUAAGGAGUUAUCAGGAUUAGUGGGACAAAUGAAGGAAACUAGGAGGAUUCAUUAUACCUUGAGGGGAUGUAAUAUUCACAGUUCCUUUCUAAUUUAUUUAAGUAAAAUGCAGAUCUAGUCUGGGCACCCCAGUACUUUAAGAAGUGUUAUUUUCCAGCCAUCUAAAAUUUUAAGAUCACUGGAUGGUGAAAACAUUUAUGGGGUGGGAACUGAUUUCAGGUCAUGCACCUCUCCAUGGUAGAGGCAAUUGCUUGUUCUAGGGAACUAGGAUGAUACCCGCAGCUGCUGCAACCUUUCAAUUCACCAAUCCAGGUUUCACAGCUGACCCAUUAACUGGUAUCAUCAAGUUGAAAAUUCCUUAUCUCAUUCAAUGAUUUUCAAUUUUUACUAUUUCCACUCCCCACAUCUCACACACACACACACACACACACACACACAUCACACACACACACAUACACACACACACACACACACACACAUCCUUUAUCCCACCAACCAUUUGUGGUUAACUUUGACAUCCUGUUGUAAUUUUUUUUUGGUCAGUUUCUAAAUACCUUGCCAUGCGCACUGAGGUCUGGUCAUCACCCUGAUAAUAUCCUCAAAUUCAAAAGCACCAUCAAUAUGUAUUCCUUUUCCUGAAACAUUUCUCUUUAGCUAUUCUACUUUAGAAACUUGAGCAAGUUACUUGUAGGUCUUAAAAAGAGGGGGCUGGACUAGGUUAGAGGUUUCCAAACUUUUCUUAUCUUGACACAUAGUAAUAAAUACAUUUUUAUAUCAUGAUAAGGUUCACACAAACAUAUAUUUAACUGAAAACUUUUACAAAACACU